CCUACGGGAGGCAGCAGUGAGGAAUAUUGGUCAAUGGACGAGAGUCUGAACCAGCCAAGUAGCGUGAAGGAUGACUGCCCUAUGGGUUGUAAACUUCUUUUAUAUGGGAAUAAAACGUUCCACGUGUGGGAUUUUGUAUGUACCAUAUGAAUAAGGAUCGGCUAAAUCCGUGCCAGCAGCCGCGGGAAUACGGAGGAUCCGAGCGUUAUCCGGAUUUAUUGGGUUUCAAGGGAGCGGAGGUGGAUUGUUAAGUCAGUUGUGAAAGUUUGCGGCUCAAACGUAAAAUUGCAGUUGAAACUGGCUGGCUUGAGUACAGGAGAGGUAGGCGGAAUUCGUGGUGUAGCGGUGAAAUGCUUAGAUAUCACGAAGAACUCCGAUGGCGAAGGCAGCUUACUGGAGUGCAACUGACGCUGAGGCUCGAAAGUGUGGGGAUCGAACAGGAUUAGAUACCCUAGUAGUC
rnacentral:rRNA from 1 species